rnacentral:rRNA from 1 species
AAUCUUCGGCAAUGGACGAAAGUCUGACCGAGCAACGCCGCGUGAGGGAUGAAGGUCUUCGGAUCGUAAACCUUUGUCUUCAGGGACGAUAAUGACGGUACCUGAGGAGGAAGCCACGGCUAACUACGUGCCAGCAGCCGCGGUAAUACGUAGGUGGCGAGCGUUGUCCGGAAUUACUGGGUGUAAAGGGCGUGUAGGCGGGAGAGUAAGUCAGAUGUGAAAUACCGGAGCUUAACUCCGGGGGUGCAUCUGAAACUGUUUUUCUUGAGUGCUGGAGAGGAAAGCGGAAUUCCUAGUGUAGCGGUGAAAUGCGUAGAUAUUAGGAGGAACACCAGUGGCGAAGGCGGCUUUCUGGACAGUAACUGACGCUGAGGCGCGAAAGCGUGGGGAGCAAACAGG